GUUUGAAGCGAUGAUGAUAAACCUUUUAUUCCAGCUCACUAUGAGACCUAUGUGGUCAGCGAUUAUAAUCCUUUCCAACAUUCUAUCUGAGCUUCUUUGC